UCUCCCCCCCUCCCCCUCCCCUCCUGCUCCCUUACGGUGGCCUGGCCUAGCCUGUGGCAUCUCUUGUCGGACGAUCGGACCAGCACGGUAUUCAAUACCAAUUUAAGAUCGUUGUUUUGGAGGAAUGAGAAGCACCCCAGAAAGUCUUGGCUAACAACUGCUAUGUUUGAUAUCUGCCUUAAGUUUGGUUAAAGCCGGCCCAUCCAGAGCUUCUCAUAAUUUAUGUCGUUACUCUUUAAUUACAAUGGUUACAUUGAAGAGGCGGCAUGAAAAUGAUAAUUCGAUUAUAAUUGAGAACCCCACUUGUUGUUUGAAGUGGGCGGCAACAGCUCAAGAACAUAAAAAUAUGUCUGUUCUGGACUUCCAGUUAUUGACGGAGUCACUAACUUCAAUACAUCUCCCUUUGUUUACAAUUUUAGAUAAAUACAAGUAAUUUGGAGAUGGAGCAAUAUGUGGCCCUCGUUUAUGAUUCUGGACACCACAUUUUGGUUUUGAGUUGCCCGAAGCAGUCACUGAACACUAUUUUUGUUUUGUUCUGAUCUCGACAUUGUCGAUAGAGUCCAACUCAUCACUGCAUCUUCUUUUAUGGACUAUUUUUAUAAAAUGACAUGUCCACAGUCCACAGUCCACUCAUCACAACAACUAUUUUAUGGAAUAUUUAAACAAAAUACAAGUGGUGUAGAGAUGUCAAUAUCAACCAACAUUCUGCAUGAACUAUUUCAGCGAAAUGUGAAAAAUCUUUGUGUUUAGUUAAGCUACAGUACACUUUUAAAUUAGAACUUUCUGCCAAGUUUUCUUUUUAACUGAUGAAAUUAAUUACUGUGUUAACUACAUCAAUAAAUGUACAUUUCAAUCUCGA